AGAAACAGGAAGUGCCCCUCUUUUCCCCUCCGCUCUUGCUCCAGCGGCGGGAUGUGAUCCACUGGCAAGGAGGGACGCCAAUAAGGUGUCCGAUAAAAUAAGUCUUAUAAAAUAUAUAGGUUUAUGAUAGUUAACACUGAGCUAGCAGAUGAGAAUCCUAGUCAUUGGCCAAGCAGCUUUGAACCUAAUCCAAGUUUCUGUGUAUUCAUUUGGGCCCUAACUCAGGCAGGCGGCUGGCAUAAAGCUCACACGUGGCGUUGGGGCUCGGCGGCUUUUGGCAGAAAGAUUUAUCGUAACAACCCUUUCUUUUGCAAAACAUGCAUUAUGAGCACUUUCUAGGAAAGAGAGAGUGAGGAAAAUGAGGACAAGGAGCCAUGAGGGAAAGCUAUAUUCACCAGCUUCCCCCUGUCCUGUCCCCCAAUGGGAACCAUUUUUUAACUCUUUGUACAGUUUCUGGCCACAUUUAAUGGUCUCUAGAUCCCUAAACAACAACAACAACAACAAAAACCACAUCAUUUUGAAAAUGAAAGCUGUCAACUUGCAAGGAAGUGUGCCUCACCCAAAGGCGAGUCCAGCACCCUGUGGCGAGGAGAUUUGUGCCAACCCUUUCUGCAGAAUGCACAAAGACUUGAAGGAGACUGAAGUAGAUAGAUUUUAUACCAACACUCUUAAAAGAACCCAGGAAUCCUUACAAAUCUGGAAGAGAAAGCUGUCAAAACAAGUGAGGACCAGUUGCAUGGGGUCUUCGGAGAGAAAUCUAUCUACACAGUUGCUCAAAGAUGAUGUCACCAUUUGUGUUCCUCAUCUGAGGCCUGAGGAAGCCGAGGCCCAGAUUCUGAGACUGGGACUUUGGCAGGGAGCCUCUUCGGUGUGUCAGGCGGACCUUCAUGAGAAGCCGAUUCUAAACCACAGCACUGUGGUGUUUGGGACUUGAAGCUCCAGGAGUGAGGAAACAGCAGAAACAGGACGCUCCCUUCUGCCUUUGACCAUAUCGUCCUUCCUGAGAUCACAGCGUAAAACCCUGGAAGGAUUUCCUGACCACCCCGCAAACAGGUAAGAACUUUCUGAAGGCGUUACCCAAGGACAACCGAGGGAGGAACAUCCUCAUCCAUGAACACCCAGGGACACUGAGGAGUAUCUGAGGAGAUAUUGAAUCUCUCCUUCCAAGAGAUGCCUGCUGUUGCAACCCUGGAGGGGACAAGACAGGAGGAAAUGAGAGAAGGAGUUUCUGGGCCAAAUAAUAACCUCAUCUCAUGUGGUCAGGACCGAAUGUUCUGGGCCUCAGAUCGUAAUUGUAAGAA
rnacentral:lncRNA from 1 species